UACGUAGGGUGCAAGCGUUAAUCGGAAUUACUGGGCGUAAAGCGUGCGCAGGCGGUGAUGUAAGUCAGUUGUGAAAUCCCCGGGCUCAACCUGGGAACUGCAUCUGUGACUGCAUCGCUGGAGUGCGGCAGAGGGGGAUGGAAUUCCGCGUGUAGCAGUGAAAUGCGUAGAUAUGCGGAGGAACACCGAUGGCGAAGGCAGUCCCCUGGGCCUGUACUGACGCUCAUGCACGAAAGCGUGGGGAGCAAACAGG
rnacentral:rRNA from 1 species